CCUACGGGAGGCAGCAGUGAGGAAUAUUGGUCAAUGGACGAGAGUCUGAACCAGCCAAGUAGCGUGAAGGAUGACUGCCCUAUGGGUUGUAAACUUCUUUUAUAUGGGAAUAAAAUGUUCCACGUGUGGGUUUUUGUAUGUACCAUAUGAAUAAGGAUCGGCUAACUCCGUGCCAGCAGCCGCGGUAAUACGGAGGAUCCGAGCGUUAUCCGGAUUUAUUGGGUUUAAAGGGAGCGUAGGUGGAUUGUUAAGUCAGUUGUGAAAGUUUGCGGCUCAACCGUAAAAUUGCAGUUGAAACUGGCAGUCUUGAGUAGAGUAGAGGUGUGCGGAAUGCGUGGUGUAGCGGUGAAAUGCUUAGAUAUCACGAAGAACUCCGAUUGCGAAGGCAGCUCACUGGACUGCAACUGACACUGAGGCUCGAAAGUGUGGGUAUCAAACAGGAUUAGAUACCCCUGUAGUC
rnacentral:rRNA from 1 species